rnacentral:rRNA from 1 species
CAAGAAGAUUAUAUCACCACUACUGCACUGGAUCCAAUCAGAACUCCACAGUUAAGCGUGCUUGGGCCAGAGUAGUACUAGGAUGGGAGACCACUGAGGAGCUAAGUGUGGUUGUGA